UACGUAUGGUGCAAGCGUUAUCCGGAUUUACUGGGUGUAAAGGGAGCGUAGACGGCCAGACAAGUCUGAAGUGAAAAUCCAGCGCUUAACGUUGGAAGUGCUUUGGAAACUGCCGGGCUAGAGUGCUGGAGGGGCAGGCGGAAUUCCUAGUGUAGCGGUGAAAUGCGUAGAUAUUAGGAGGAACACCAGUGGCGAAGGCGGCCUGCUGGACUGCAACUGACGUUGAGGCUCGAAGGCGUGGGGAGCAAACAGG
rnacentral:rRNA from 1 species